CCUACGGGAGGCAGCAGUAGGGAAUAUUCGGCAAUGGGCGCAAGUCUGAACGAGCCAUGCCGCGUGCAGGAAGACGGCUCUCUGAGUUGUAAGCUUCUUUUGUACGGGAGUAAACGAAAAUACACGGAACUUUCUGAAAGUGUCGUGCGCAUCAGGAUCGGCUAACUCCGUGCCAGCAGCCGAGGGAAUACGGAGGAUUCAAUCGUUAGCCGGAUUUAUUGGGUUUAAAGGGUGGGGAGGCGGUCGGAGAAGUUAGGGGGUAAAUCCCGUGGGUCAAAUUCGGUAUUGCCACUGAUACUGGUCGGCUAGAGAGUAGUUGCGGUAGGCGGAACUUAUGGUGUAGCGGUGAAAUGCUUAGAGAUCAGACAGAACACCGAUUGCGAAGGCAGCUUACCAAGCCACUUCUGACGUUGAGGCACGAAAGCGUGGGGAGCAAACAGGAUUAGAUACCCGAGUAGUC
rnacentral:rRNA from 1 species